rnacentral:rRNA from 1 species
GAUGAACGCUGGCGGCGUGCCUAAUACAUGCAAGUCGAGCGAACAGACGAGGAGCUUGCUCCUCUGACGUUAGCGGCGGACGGGUGAGUAACACGUGGAUAACCUACCUAUAAGACUGGGAUAACUUCGGGAAACCGGAGCUAAUACCGGAUAAUAUAUUGAACCGCAUGGUUCAAUAGUGAAAGACGGUUUUGCUGUCACUUAUAGAUGGAUCCGCGCCGCAUUAGCUAGUUGGUAAGGUAACGGCUUACCAAGGCAACGAUGCGUAGCCGACCUGAGAGGGUGAGCGGCCACACUGGAACUGAGACACGGUCCAGACUCCUACGGGAGGCAGCAGUAGGGAAUCUUGCGCAAUGGGCGAAAGCUUGACGGAGCAACGCCGCGUGAGUGAUGAAGGUCUUCGGAUCGUAAAACUCUGUUAUUAGGGAAGAACAAAUGUGUAAGUAACUAUGCACUUCUUGACGGUACCUAAUCAGAAAGCCACGGCUAACUACGUG